CUCUAAGACGCUUCAUGACUACAGGCGCAGGUCUGUUCUAAACAGUGCAUUUCUAUCUGAAUGAUUUAUGAUGUGUGGGCCAAGGUGUAAAGUGGGCAUGGUUAUGUACCUGUGGUGUGGUAAUGUAGGCGAUGACACGUUCCAGCUCUGCAGUGAAGGAGGGCUCACCUGAUGCCCACUGCUGCAGCUCAAACCCUCUACCUCUCUCCUGUGGGGAGACACACGAGUCAGCAGGUUUUCCUGAAAUUUGACAUCGCACUUACUAGUUUAUAAGAGACAAAGCUGUAUGAUGGGUCUGGAACUGAAGUUGAUGGGGAUGUGUUUGAGAAGGUGGUGAAACGGACAGAUCUGGGUGUUUUCAAGCUCACACUGAACAAUGAUGCUAAAGAAUCUUCCCUGAUGAGUCCUGUCUCUGCCAGUUCUGUGAUGGGUGGUUCAGACCAUGAGUCGGUUGAUACAAUCAUUUUGAGUGAGGAUGGAAGCCCCUCGCGAAAGUGUCAGAGAUCUGAUGACGGAGCAAAGAAAUCUAAUAGAGAGCAUACUGAAGAAAAAGCCAGGUGGAGAGGUUGUCAUCAAGGAAUACUCCAAAACUAAAAGCCUGACUGACUGCACCAGACGAAAGAUGAUCAACAUUCUUGUUUCGGAGAUGACAGAGACUCACGGGACAUCACCACCGCGCAGUGGGAGAGAAACGUCUGCACAAGGCAUCGUCUCUUUGUUCCCAUACCUGAAGGAUCCCUACACUGAAAAUGGAUAUGCAGGAACAUUAUUACCACCCUAAUAGUGGAGAAGGGUACCUCUCGUAUAGAAUCAAAACAAUUCAGAGGAAUUUGGUUUCAUCAGAGAAACGGCCCACUCAACUAUAAUCUGGAGGGCCAACUGCUGAGAGGGAGUCCAGUCCAUCCACUUUGGCUACCCUGAGUGAAGACCAGUGCAGAGAGGCCAUUUCUCUUAUGAAGCAUUCUUCUGAUGAAGAAACAGAAGAUGAGAUUGACCUUUGAGUACAGGAACAUGACCCACAACCCGAGUAAAUGCUCCACCAUCCUAUCCGAAUUUCCACGCUUUCUGGAUGUGAAGGGCUUGUUUCAGAUUGAACAGGAUUUUGUGCUGCUGUUUGGAGAGGGAACAUCAGCCAAGGUUUUGGAGAGGUGGCCAACUACAUUCAAGCAAAAGAUCAUCAUGCUAAGCAAGACCCUAAGCAAGACCCUAAGCAAGGCCCUAAGCAAGGCACUAAGCAAGGCCCUAAGCAAGGCCCUAAGCAAGACCCUAAGCAAGGCCCUAAGCAAGGCCCUAAGCAAGGCCCUAAGCAAGGCCCUAAGCAAGGCCACUCAGGGAGCUGAACUUCAGGAGCUGAUCCAGAUGGCAGAAUCUGCAGUUGAUGAGGGAACUGACAUGAAUGCUGACGGACCUCUUUGAUUAGGAUGGGAAGGUGACCUUUCCUCCAUUUGAUUCCUCCUUCAUCACAAGGCCGCAAAAGACCAGGCAAGAUGUCUGCAUCUCAAGCUGAACAGCAUCUUGUGAUAUUCCAAAAGGCAGGAACCAGUAUCCAGCAGCACCUUGAUGCGAUUGACCAGAGCCGCCAACCAUAUCUUCUUGCAGUCGGGACCAGGAAGAGCAGCAUCCAUGCUUACUUCAUCAUCCUGGACAAGAGCGCCUUACAAGUCAACGAGCGCUCUUGGUGCUUCGAUGAGCUUUUCAAGACUCACUUUGUUUUUGGUACUGCUUACAAUACAAUGCUGCACAGCAUGUUCACCUUCAUACAGACAACUGUGUACAUCAUAGACAUUGGGAAGGUUAAGGGGACUCCAGGGGUUGCUGAGCUCAGAGCUAGACCUCUGCACUAAUGCUGAUAUGUUUUGUUUGCCAUGCUAGUCAUGGAAGUACCAACCUGCUCGUAAGGAAUCUCAAGUUGAUACAUGGAAUGUUCCCUGUUAGAACUCUUAGAAUAAAAUGUGGUCAAGCAGAUUGUUGUCGUGUCUUUGGUUGUCGUGUAUUUUCAGACUUUAGGAAGCAUU